rnacentral:lncRNA from 1 species
CUUUCAUAUCCCUUUAUACUACGUGUAAAUGUGAAGCAAUAUCCUACACUUCCCUUACCAUGAACAGGAAAAAUAUCACCCACACGAUAAGAAAAUGUUGAAGAAGAUUUUAAGGACCAAAACACUAAUACCUCUAUAGGGACUAAAUGAUUAUUUAAGUCUUCCUCAAAUUUUUCUUUUGUUGAGUAUUGCACAGAUAUUAAAGUCUUUCUUAUACUAACAAGGGUGAAUAUGAGGUGAAGUGAGGUGCCAUGUGUGCAACUGUGUCAGUAAAUUUGCUAAUGGAAAAGGGGGCAUUUAUCAUGCC